UAAUUUAAGAAUAAAGCUAUUAACCUUUUUCACAGUCGAAACACGCUUUUGCCAGUUAUUGAUCUGAGCCAAGCGAUAGGGUAUUCCCUGAACGGAGAACUCAAGGAGGGAACGUGAUGGCUAAAAAUAGACAUGACGUCACAGAGUAAUCGUACUCUCGGGACCAGAAUCCAAGAAAUGGAUUUCUUUUAUACAAACUUGGAUUGGUUUCAAAAUUUCAAGUAAAAUUUUUAAAAAUCGGCCAUCUAUACAUAUUUCUGUGUGUUCACUUCAGCUGUGAGUACUAAAAGGAUUUUUUUCUAAAGUGGUUUGUUGUGUAUCAUACCUAAAAGGACCGGAGUAAUUUCUUUUGUGGUGGAUUAUAAUUAGGCGGCAACUCGGAAGUGUCCGGUCUCAGUACUUAAAAAAAUCACGUGCGUGACGUCAUUGACCGGACUGACCCCACGUCUGUCACAUAAACUCUGCCGGCAGCGCCUGUAUUCGCACCCUACGGAUAUUGGCAAAUUCAAUUAGCGAUACUGUGUGUGCUUCCCUGUAAUCGGAUUGCAUUCUUGUGUAAUCGAUUUUUUGUUGUAUCGCGACUUGGUGUAUCAUGGCCUCAGUCGGUGAACAGUCAGCUAUGCCUUUAGAGGAGGAUGAUAUCCGCGGGGACAUCAAAAGGAAAAAGUUUAACCCAAUCUCGGCGGUGAGAAAUUUUUUCCGUACCAAGAAAAAGAAAGAGGAUUCAGUGGUGACAGUCAAGGCCCAAUCAACGUCCACGUUACAUUCCGGGCUAGAUGAGGAUGACGACGAUG